GACGAAGGGGGCUAGCGUUGUUCGGAAUUACUGGGCGUAAAGCGCGUGUAGGCGGUUGUUCAAGUCAGGUGUGAAAGCCUUGAGCUCAACUCAAGAAAUGCACUUGAUACUGGAUGACUAGAGGACCGGAGAGGAUAGUGGAAUUCCCAGUGUAGUGGUGAAAUACGUAGAGAUUGGGAAGAACACCAGUGGCGAAGGCGGCUCACUGGUCCAUUACUGACGCUGAGGUGCGAAAGCGUGGGGAGCAAACAGG
rnacentral:rRNA from 1 species